rnacentral:lncRNA from 1 species
AUGACUGCUAUCCUGCUACUCAACAUAGCCUGCCUUCUUAGUUUCUGCCUGCCUUUGGCAGAGCCGUGUAAGUUGGCCAUCCAACCCAAGGCACCGAUUGUGGAAUUUGGGGGCUCUGUAAAACUCAACUGUACAUCCACCUGCACCAACUACACUAAAGUGGACUGGGAGGUGUCGUUUGCACGAGAUGUCAAGGAAGGAGAAGGGUGGAUUUCUCUGAACAUCAAGAACGUGACAGAAUGGACCACUCAACCAUUGUGUGUGGCUAGAUACAAGGAAUCAGACUCCAUCCACACCAGGGCAGUAAUCUAUGUUUACCAAUUCUCAACCCCAGAUAUCUACCUGGCUUCUGAGAUUGAGAGCGGUCGCUUGGACAAAAUAAUCUGCAACAUUUCUAGCCUGCGGGUGAGAGAUGAAAUCUCACCUAAGGUCAGCAUCUCCCUCAGCAGAGGUGCAACUCUCCUGAAUAGCAGCUAUGGUGAACCUUCAUUGGAAUACAGUUUUGUGGCCAGCCUUAAUCGAGACGAUGGGGCUGCGAUCAUUUGUAUGGCCUGGGUCGAGGUGGGCUCAGAGGUGUUGAAUAAGAGUGCAACAAGGACCUUGAAUAUUGUGGCAAGCCCUUACAAUGUCAGUGUCUCUGCAAAUCCCAUGAUGUACAAAGCCGAUGUCAAGAUUGUGGUGAAGUGCAAGGCUGAAGGAAAACCCUUCCCAGAGUUUUCGUGCAUCUUCUCUCCAACAGCAGUGUGGAGUUCUCUAGCAACAUCCAGAUUUAACAUCGAAUUCAGCUCAAAGCUUCCAUAA